CUGUUCACUGACUUUCUCAACCAAUAGCCCCGGCAAGGGCGCCUAGCCACCGGCUCCUCGGGCUCCGGCCCCCCUCAAACAGCAAGUAUAACUUGCCUCCUAGUCAUAAAGCUGCGGUUUAUCCUA